GAUGAACGCUGGCUACAGGCUUAACACAUGCAAGUCGAGGGGAAACGACGGGGAAGCUUGCUUCCCCGGGCGUCGACCGGCGCACGGGUGAGUAACGCGUAUCCAACCUGCCUCUGACUGAGGGAUAACCCGUCGAAAGUCGGCCUAAUACCUCAUGGCAUCGUCUGCGGGCAUCCAACGACGAUUAAAGAUUUCAUCGGUCAGAGAUGGGGAUGCGUCUGAUUAGCUUGUUGGCGGGGUAACGGCCCACCAAGGCGACGAUCAGUAGGGGUUCUGAGAGGAAGGUCCCCCACAUUGGAACUGAGACACGGUCCAAACUCCUACGGGAGGCAGCAGUGAGGAAGAUUGGUCAAUGGGCGAGAGCCUGAACCAGCCAAGUAGCGUGCAGGAUGACGGCCCUAUGGGUUGUAAACUGCUUUUAGGCGGGGAUAAAGUGAGGGACGUGUCCUUCAUUGCAGGUACCGCAUGAAUAAGGACCGGCUAAUUCCGUG
rnacentral:rRNA from 1 species